rnacentral:rRNA from 1 species
CUAAUGCAAACGGGUGAGUAAUACUUAAGUAAUUUAUCUUUUAUUAUUUAAGAAAAGCUUAAGGAAAAUUAGAUAGUUGGUUUUUUAAAAGAAAACCAAGUCUUUUAUUUUUAGCAAAUUUGAAAAAAUGAUUUGCCACAGUGGCACUGAGACAAGGGCCAAACUUUUUUAAGGCAGCAGUGAGGAAUUUUGGACAAUGAACACAAGUUUGAUCCAGUAAUACCAAUUAGGUGACUAAGGUUAUUUUGAUUGUAAAACCUUACGUUUAAAAAAAUAAUGAUUUUUUAAACAAAUUAGCUCUGGCUAAUUAUGUGCCAGCAGCCGCGGUAAUACAUAAAGAGCUAGCAUUAUUUGGAAUUAUUUGGCAUAAAGUGUUUGUAGGUUGCUUUUUUUGCUAAUUUUUUUAUUAAAAGCUUAACUUUUUUAAAAAAUUAAGACAAUUAUAGCUUGAGUAGAUCAAAGGUUAGUAGAACUUCUAGGUUACAGUUAAAAUUGGUUUAUCCUAUAAAGACUUCCAAAGGCUAAUGCAACUUUCUAUGAUUUUACUGACACUCAAAAACGAAAGCCUAGGUAGCAAAGAGGAUUAGAUACCCUUUUAGUCUAGGGUGUAAACUAUGUGUACUUAAAAUUAAAUCUCUUUUUGAAGAGGUUGAG